rnacentral:rRNA from 1 species
UACGUAGGGGGCAAGCGUUGUCCGGAAUCAUUGGGCGUAAAGCGCGCGUAGGCGGCCCGGUAAGUCCGUUGUGAAAGUCAAAGGCUCAACCUUUGAACGCCGAUGGAUACUGCCGGGCUAGAGUCCGGAAGAGGAGAGUGGAAUUCCCGGUGUAGCGGUGAAAUGCGCAGAUAUCGGGAAGAACCCCCGUGGCGAAGGCGGCUCUCUGGGACGGUACUGACGCUGAGACGCGAAAGCGUGGGAGCGAACAGG